GGCUGCCUAGGCUAUGUCAACGCCAUAAAGAAGAAGCCCACUAGCGGCAGCCCAGUGUCGACAGCUCCAGGCCGAAGUAGUUAGCUGUUCUGGUGAAGGGCACCUGUUAGCAAUCGAGUUGGAAGGUGUGUCUUGGCUUUCUCCGUGCACGUUUGAGUUGUUAGUAACUUAGCUGUAACUUCUCACAAACAAAGCAAAUCAAACCACCGUAGCUCGACAACAUAAAUUGACCAGCGCGUGUGAAGUGCAUACAUUUCACUCAAAAUACUCACUCGGCUGCUCUCGAUGGAACGAAUGAUGUUUUGAAGGAUGGAAAAACUGAGCUAGCUAUGGUUAACAGUUAGAGUUCGCUCUAACUUACGCUGUGGCUAUUUGUACUCGGCUGUAAUUGUUAGUGAAUCGACCUUAAUAAAUGUGUCUGCAUCUCUAAAUCAUGAUACUCUCAACGAAAUCGCCAUUACUAACUAACCCGUGGGAUGGCACUUGUUACACGUUUUUGGAUAUAAAUUGAUUGAGUGAACGGGUUAAAAUUCCCAUUCAAGAAGAACCACGACACGCCCCUCCCUGUCUGAUCUAAACUGUCGACACCCAGCACUGUAACGUUAAUUGUUGCUUUUUCUUCGUGAGACAAUUCAACAUUUUUAAUUUUUGUUACAAUGAACUAAAACAUAGAGCCUCUAGCAAUUUAUAUUUUUAAUUGUGCUAAAUAUUUGGAUAAACUUAAAUAAAAAAAAGUACUAUACAUUUUAACGCUUUAAAUCCGAGAGUGACUUUCUCGAGCGGAGACGAUGACAGGUCAGGUUUAUUUUCAUCUUUCGAAGAAAACAAAGUUCAGUUCCAUAACAAUGACAUUUAAUGGGAAAGCAAAGGUACAGUGGACAACACAAAGACGACCCGAGUCCACUCGGCAAAGCUGGAAUUCUUCAACGUCUCAAGUCGUAUUGCAAGAAAAUAACGAACCCAUGUGUACCCGUUCACAUGCCAAAUUCCACAAGGGAACUUCCCCUCUUCUUUCCAUGGGGCGCAUGGCAGUAUAAUCUACUCCAUGAAGGUGGAGAUACACAGGCCCUGGCAUCUAACCAAGGCGUUUGAGACAGAGUUCAACUUUGCCACCUACAUAGACACCAACCAACCACAUCUUCUGAUGGUGAAAAUAAUCUGAGUUUAAUAAUGGCUCAUCUCAGACGGUGACUCCACAUGCCACCCGCAUCCAGAAGCAGAUGAUUUACACCCACAACAAGUGCAACAGGAUGAUGCAGAGGGAAAAACCUGGUCUCAGUGAAUGGUCAGCCGGUCAACCCCAGUAGCUCUGAGGUCUAAAGCAAUAUGAUGCUUCCCAUCCCUCCCAAAACUGCUCUCACAAUCUCCAACUGUCCUAUACUGGAGUUGGAUUACACUGUGGAUGUGUGUCUACGUGUCAGAGUUUCCUCUGACCUAAAGGUGCUGUUCCCCAUCGUGCUGUGUAAUGUUCAUGCUUCCCAACCUCCCCCUCCAUAUCAGUAGGAGUAGCAGUUGGAUCCUAUUAGAGAUUGCAUAGCCUCUCACAACUUCCCGUAACCAAAGUUAUGUCUGUCAGGAACAUAGGGGAUAUGAGGGUUACUAGGAACAAUUCUUCCGGUGCGCUUGUUUUUUCUUCACUGAUUAUUUGAACAAAUCACAGGGUUCAUUUGGCCCAUAGACCAGUUAAGAGGAUUUCAGAGGAGCGGGUGUGGACUUUGCCACUCCUAUUAAGCCAAACAUCUUAACACUCCCCAGUACAAAAUCCAGUAGCUGGCCGGAGACCAGCUUUCACGCAAGAUUUUGUUCCGAGAUUAGACACUGCCAAAAACCUUUUUAAAAUGGGGUUUCCAAUUCUAUAAUUUUAUAUGUUGUUGAUCGUUAGAAUUGUCAUCAACUGGCAUGUCAAAACUUCCUUCCAUAUGACAUUGCCUGAUUGCAUUGCCUCUUUCCACUGUGGGAGUCGAGUGCAAAAUGCUCACUAUAGACAUUACUGCUUAGAAAAUGAAGUGCUCAGAAUUCAUGACUUUUUAAAACUUACAUUUCAGCCCCUUUUCCGUUUCUUAUUCAGCUCCUUCGGGGUCAUGAGAUGAGAAACUAGUGGGACACUGUUAGGGGGCUAACUCCGACUACAGCUGAUAAGGACUCAACUUGCUCUAACAAGUCUUACAACACAACAAAUUGUAGGAUUUAUGUGAAAAGCCUCUUAAUAAGGUUGAUUUGUGAGUUGCAGAAAUAGUUCUCAUGUUUUUACUUCAUAUGGUAUCAGAUUCUUUUUUUAUAUUUUAUGCUUGAACUUUUAAAAGGUGUUUCUGUUACAUGACUAUUUCUGUUACAUUUUAAAACACAUAGUUUAUUUACAGUUGUAUAUAUACAUUUCUUAUUACUUACAUACCAAUGUAUAUGUAUGCAAUGGUGCCUUGCCAUCCUUCAAUGCUUAACACUAGAACCGUUAGGCCUUGACGGGUGCAACUUGUUCGCCAAUGAGACUGUAGUAAAGAAAUUGUCUAUGGUGAUAUUUUGCCAGCAGCAUACCACCCUGCAUCCCACUACUGGCUUGCUUCUGAAGCUAAGCAGGGUUGGUCCUGGUCAGUCCCUGGAUGGGAGACCAGAUGCUGCUGGAAGUGGUGUUGGAGGGCCAGUAGGAGGCACUCUUUCCUCUGGUCUAAAAAAAAAACAAAUAUUCCAAUGCCCCAGGGCAGUGAUUGGGGACAUUGCCCUGUGUAGGGUGCCGUCUUUCGGAUGGGACGUUAAACUGGUGUCCUGACUCUCUGAGGUCAUUAAAGAUCCCAUGGCACUUAUCGUAAGAGUAGGGGUGUUGACCCUGGUGUCCUUGUUAAAUUCCCAAUCUGGCCCUCAAACCAUCAUGGUCACCUAAUAAUUUCCAAUUGGCUCAUUCAUCCCCCUCCUUGCCCCUGUAACUAUUCCCCAGGUUGUUGCUGCAAAUGAGAAUGUGUUCUCAGUCAACUUACCUGGUAAAAUAACGGAUAAAUAAAAUAUUUCUCCUCUUGCCAAUGUAAGAUUUCACAAGCCUCAUAACCACAUUCUGUCACUCGCUCACCUGCUGCCCAAUGUGGAUCUUUUCCAAGAUAUGGAAAGCCAUUCAGCAUGUACUUGGUGUCGGUGUCAGCGGCUAACCAAAUCUUAAUUUCAAACUUGUCGGGUUAACUCUCAAUGUAUUGCAUAAAGCCGUAAUGAGGUUUUGGGGUAUACAUGGCUGUGACUAUAAUCGAAGAGGAUGCUCUUGGGAGAUAAUGCGGUCGGCAUUUGAUUGUAAGGAAUUCUAGGUCAGGUGAACAAAAGGACUUGUUCCUGUAUGUUAUGAUUACACCAUGAGUCGUUAAUCAUAAGGCAUACACCCCCGCCUUUCUUCUUACCAGAGAGAUGUUUGUUUCUGUCGGCGCGAUGCAUGAAGAAAGUGGGUCGCUGUACCAACUCUGACAACAUAUCCCGAGUGAGCAAUGUUUCUGUGAAACAGAGAAUGUUAGAAUCUCUGAUGUCUCUCUGGAAGGAAAAGCAGUCAUCAAGUGCUUAGCAAAUGUGGGAACUCCUUUAAGACUGUUGGGAAAGCAUUCCAGGUGACUACCUCAUGAAGCUGGUUGAGAGAAUGCCAAGAGUGUGCAAAGCUGUCAAGGCAAAGGGUGGCUACUUUGAAGAAUCUCAAAUAUAAAAUAUAUUUUGAUUUAACACUUUUUAGUUACUACAUGAUUCCAUGUGUUGUUUUAUAGUUUUGAUGUCUUCACUAUUAUUCUACAAUGUAGAAAAUAGUACAAAUAAAGAAAAACCCUUGAAUGAGUAGGUGUGUCCAAACUUUUGACUGGUACUGUAAGAAUUCACACCCCUGAGUAAAUACUUUGUCAAAGCACCUUUGGCAGCGAUUACAGUCUUUUUGGGUAAGUCUCUAAGAGCUUUCCACAUCUGGAUUGUGCCACAUUUGCCCAUUUAUUCUUUCCAAAUUGUCAAACUGGUUGUUCGUGAUUGCUAGACAACCAUUUUCAGGUCUUGCCAUAACUCGGCCACUCACUGUCUUCUUGAUAAGCAACUCCAGUGUAGAUUUGGUCUUGUGUUUUAGGUUAUUGUCCUGCUGAAAGGUGAAUUCAUCUCCCAGUGUCUGGUGGAAAGCAGACUGAACCAGGUUUUUGUCUAGGAUUUUGCCUGAUCACAACAAAAUGUGGAAUAAGUCAAGGGGUGUGAAUACUUUCUGAUGGGACUGUAUGUAGUGUAGGAUUAGUUGUGUUAUUCCUUCUCUGUAUAAAAAUUGGGCUGGUGUGGGGGUCUUGAGGAAAAACAUGGGCUGGUGUGGGGGCCUCAAGGAAUAAAAUGGGUAAGUGUGUUAGAAAUGC
rnacentral:lncRNA from 1 species